UACGUAGGGGGCAAGCGUUGUCCGGAAUCAUUGGGCGUAAAGAGCGUGUAGGCGGUUCGGUAAGUCGGCUGUGAAAGUCCAGGGCUCAACCCUGGGAUGCCGGUCGAUACUGCCGGACUAGAGUUCGGAAGAGGCGAGUGGAAUUCCCGGUGUAGCGGUGAAAUGCGCAGAUAUCGGGAGGAACACCUAUGGCGAAGGCAGCUCGCUGGGACGUUACUGACACUGAGGAGCGAAAGCGUGGGGAGC
rnacentral:rRNA from 1 species